CUGGGGGCUGAGGAGAACCACAACACGCUGCUCACUAAAGGAGCAGUGCCGGCCGCGCAACAGCCGCUACGAUGGGCAGAUCGCCGUGUUCGGGGCCGACCUGCAGGCCAAGCUGGGCGCCCAGAAGUACUUUGUGGUGGGAGCGGGGGCCAUCGGCUGCGAGCUGCUCAAGAACUUUGCCAUGGUGGGCCUGGGCUGCGGCCCCGAGGGCAGCGUCACCGUCACCGACAUGGACACCAUCGAGAAGUCCAACCUCAACCGCCAGUUCCUCUUCCGGCCGUGGGACGUCACGGUGAGGGCUGGGAGUGACCCAAGAGUUGGCCAACGUUGGGUUGGCUACACCAAGUGGGGAUGGAGGAGUU
rnacentral:lncRNA from 1 species